AGCAGGUACAGGUGUUACCUGUUUCAAGCCAGGUGCCCCCCUCUUUUCCCACCUCCCACCCGUCAGCACCUCCACAGGGUACACAGAUGCCUUUCUUCCCAACCAGUGUGGCUCCUCCUAUUCAACACAGCGGUGCUGAUGGUUGGAGGAGUGGCAAACCUGAAGAUAUGCCCCCACAAUACACCACUACCCAAGAAUAAGUCAUGUGACUCCAUCUAGAUUUCCUGGGGAGGCUUUAUGUCUCAAGCAAAUGGUAACCUUGUGACUCUUUUGAAUCAUUUGUGUCUUCAAUACAUUCUUGAAGAGUAAGUGUGUGCAUGUAUGCAAGUAAAGCCAUUUCUAUAUACUCACUAUAAAAUGUAUCUAUUAAACUGAAAUUCAAGCUAACUAUCAUGCUCCAAUUGACUUUGCAUUCCAGGUUCUCAAUCAAUCAAUGCAACUAUUGGAAAGCAACCCAUUAGCAAUGACAAUCCAUCUUAUAAAGUCACCAUUACAUAUAGGAAUGAUAUGAGCAAACACAUAGUGGAAAGCAUAAUAUGUAUGAAGGUUACUGUUUCUCUCUGUAGUAAUAUAUUAUUUAGGCCCACAUUAUUUCGACUUUUAAUAUAUUAUUUACGCCCACAUUAUAUAGACUUUGCUAAGAUGAAAAUGACCGAUAUUGUUGCUCUAUUGUCUGCAAAUCAAUCAAAAAUCAAAUUCUUGUCAUUGUAUUACGAAUGUGUACUUACUUUAAUUAAAAUAAUUACAUUCA